ACGCUGGCCGAACGCAGGCUUUGGAGUGUGGGUAACCCGGCAGGACGCCGGGUUAGCCGCGCUGGGCCAUGGAUGGCCCAUCGCGGCGGCCCACGCUCCAAAGCCUGCGUUCGGGCACACC
rfam:Pseudomonas sp. 1 R 17 genome assembly PSEFL294_LIB5394, contig: PSEFL294_LIB5394_000069